rnacentral:tRNA from 1 species
UUAUUAGCGGCGAAGGGACUUGAACCCCUGACACUGCGGAUAUGAGCCGCAUGCUCUAACCACCUGAGCCACGCCGCCA